rnacentral:tRNA from 1 species
ACCUGGGUGGCUCAGUCGGUUGAGCGUCUGACUUUGGCUCAGGUCAUGAUCUCAUGAUUCAUGGGUUCGAGCCCCACGUCGGGCU